CCAAGAUUAAAAAAUGUGGAUCGGAGUAG
rnacentral:piRNA from 1 species